GACGAACGCUGGCGGCGUGCCUAAUACAUGCAAGUAGAACGCAGUUGCGAACGGGUGAGUUACGCGUAUGUCACUGCCUGGUAGCGGGUGAUAACUACUGGAAACGAUAGCUAAUACCGCCUCCUACCAGAUGGACCUGCGUUGUAUUGUCUAGUUGGUGAGGUAACGGCUCACCAAGGCAAAGAUACAUAGCCGACCUGAAGGGGUUGUCGGCCAAACUGGGACUGAGACACGGCUCAGACUCCUACGGGAGGCAGCAGUAGGGAAUCUUCGGCAAUGGGGGGAACCCUGACCGAGCAACGCCGCGGGAUUGAAGAAGGUUUUCGGAUCGUAAAGCUCUGUUGUGAAGGAAGCGGUACUUGACCAGAAAGGGACGGCUAACUACGUGCCAGCAGCCGCGGUAAUUC
rnacentral:rRNA from 1 species